AUUGAACGCUGGCGGCAGGCCUAACACAUGCAAGUCGAGCGGAUGAAGGGAGCUUGCUCCUGGAUUCAGCGGCGGACGGGUGAGUAAUGCCUAGGAAUCUGCCUGGUAGUGGGGGAUAACGUCCGGAAACGGGCGCUAAUACCGCAUACGUCCUGCGGGAGAAAGUGGGGGAUCUUCGGACCUCACGCUAUCAGAUGAGCCUAGGUCGGAUUAGCUAGUUGGUGGGGUAAAGGCCUACCAAGGCGACGAUCCGUAACUGGUCUGAGAGGAUGAUCAGUCACACUGGAACUGAGACACGGUCCAGAGGCCUAAGGGAGGCAGCAGUGGGGAAUAUGGGACAAUGGGCGAAAGCCUGAUCCAGCCAUGCCGCGUGUGUGAAGAAGGUCUUCGGAGUGUAAAGCACUUUAAGUUGGGAGGAAGGGCAGUAAGUUAAUACCUUGCUGUUUUGACGUUACCAACAGAAUAAGCACCGGCUAACUUCGUG
rnacentral:rRNA from 1 species